rnacentral:rRNA from 1 species
AUGCACACUGGCGGCGUGCCUAAUACAUGCAAGUAGAACGCUGAAGCUUGGUGCUUGCCCCGAGCGGAUGAGUUGCGAACGGGUGAGUAACGCGUAGGUAACCUGCCUCUUAGCGGGGGAUAACUAUUGGAAACGAUAGCUAAUACCGCAUAAAAGUCGAUAUCGCAUGAUAUUGAUUUGAAAGGUGCAAAUGCAUCACUAAGAGAUGGACCUGCGUUGUAUUAGCUAGUUGGUGAGGUAACGGCUCACCAAGGCGACGAUACAUAGCCGACCUGAGAGGGUGAUCGGCCACACUGGGACUGAGACACGGCCCAGACUCCUACGGGAGGCAGCAGUAGGGAAUCUUCGGCAAUGGGGGCAACCCUGACCGAGCAACGCCGCGUGAGUGAAGAAGGUUUUCGGAUCGUAAAGCUCUGUUGUAAGAGAAGAACGAGUGUGAGAGUGGAAAGUUCACACUGUGACGGUAACUUACCAGAAAGGGACGGCUAACUACGUG